GACGGAAGGUGCAAGCGUUGCUCGGAAUCACUGGGCGUAAAGGGUGCGUAGGCGGCCGCGCAAGUCUGGCGUGAAAGCCCCGGGCUCAGCCCGGGAAGGGCGCUCGAAACGGCGCGGCUCGAGUGCCGGAGGGGAGAGUGGAAUUCCUGGUGUAGCGGUGAAAUGCGUAGAUAUCAGGAGGAAUACCGGUGGCGAAAGCGGCUCUCUGGGGACCACCUGACGCUGAGGCGCGAAAGCGUGGGGAGCGAACCGG
rnacentral:rRNA from 1 species